rnacentral:rRNA from 1 species
AACACAUGCAAGUCGAACGGAAAGGCCAGUGCUUGCACUGGUACUCGAGUGGCGAACGGGUGAGUAACACGUGGGUGAUCUGCCCUGCACUUCGGGAUAAGCCUGGGAAACUGGGUCUAAUACCGGAUAGGACCACAUUUUGGAUGGUGUGGUGGAAAGUUUUCCGGUGUGGGAUGAGCUCGCGGCCUAUCAGCUUGUUGGUGGGGUAAUGGCCUACCAAGGCGUCGACGGGUAGCCGGCCUGAGAGGGUGUACGGCCACAUUGGGACUGAGAUACGGCCCAGACUCCUACGGGAGGCAGCAGUGGGGAAUAUUGCACAAUGGGCGCAAGCCUGAUGCAGCGACGCCGCGUGGGGGAUGACGGCCUUCGGGUUGUAAACUCCUUUCGCUAGGGACGAAGCGCAAGUGACGGUACCUGGAGAAGAAGCACCGGCUAACUACGUGCCAGCAGCCGCGGUAAUACGUAGGGUGCGAGCGUUGUCCGGAAUUACUGGGCGUAAAGAGCUCGUAGGUGGUUUGUCGCGUCGUUUGUGUAAGCCCGCAGCUUAACUGCGGGACUGCAGGCGAUACGGGCAUAACUUGAGUGCUGUAGGGGAGACUGGAAUUCCUGGUGUAGCGGUGGAAUGCGCAGAUAUCAGGAGGAACACCGAUGGCGAAGGCAGG